AAUCAGUGAUUAUUAAACGUACUGCCUGGGAGAAGUGAAAACACUGCCUGGAUUUGGAACCGAGGACCAGAUUUGAACAGCCUUAAUUUACGCCUUAAUGCACUGACACUGAAAUAAGAAGUCAGUAGUUUCAAGCAAACUGGCAGGAAACUGUCGGAGAAGCAAGAUUUCCGUGGCCUUCAGUGGACAGAGGCUGCAAAACGGUCACCAGCUGCACAAUGGAAAUAUUUUAACAUCGUAGGGCUCCGGAGAUGGUGUCGUCUGAUCGGGGCUUAUGUGUAUUUUUCUGCUACGUCAUAAACUAUGAUAAGAGUGAAGCACGUCUUCUCGAUAGAUGCACCUCGAACUCCUGCAAGCUUGUGAAGAUCCGCAGAUCCAGAGCAAACGAGAAUGAUCUGACAGGGGCUGAUGGGAUAAUACUCCAACAUUUAAUCUUCUAACAAAGUACUGAUUUUGGCAAAAAUUGAAACUAAAUAAGUCAGAUGGAAACC